rnacentral:rRNA from 1 species
AGAUUGAACGCUGGCGGCAUGCCUUACACAUGCAAGUCGAACGGUAGAGUAGCAAUACUCGAGAGUGGCGAACGGGUGAGUAAUAUAUCGGAACGUGCCCAGUCGUGGGGGGAUAACGUAGAGAAAUUUACGCUAAUACCGCAUACGAUCUACGGAUGAAAGCGGAGGAUUCGCAAGAACCUCGCGCGAUUGGAGCGGCUGAUAUCAGAUUAGGUUGUUGGUGAGGUAAAAGCUACACCAAGCCGACGAUCUGUAGCUGGUUUGAGAGAACGACCAGCCACACGUGGGACUGACGACGACGGACCCAGACCUCGUGGCGGGAGCAGCAGGUGGGUAAUUUGGAACAAGUGGGACGAAAGCCUGACUCAGCAAUCGCCG